UUUUGCUUUAUGUAUUAAGCAAAUUAGUCGGCGUGGGGAGGGAGGACGCCCAGAGGCUGGGAGGCCUACAAGGGAGACUGUUGCAACGAUUGAUUAAGAAAGAAAACAUGGGGCUGGAGCCCCCCUCCAACACCACCUGACCGGGCAGUCCCAUUCCUGGGACCAGGAUGUGGCAAUGCAAGCCAGACAAGCCCUGACGUAGACAGCCCUACGACCCCCAAGCGCAGCCUCCUCCACAGCCAACAUCAGCAACGGCCCUGAGGAUACAGAGACUUCAGAGUAAUGACUAAUUCCCCAGAGCAAUCAUUCGAGCAGACCCCUGAGCAGUUGGAUGGCAGCCUGCCCUCGCUCCCCAGCCAAGCAAGUCCCUUCUUAGACCUUAGA